UUGAUAGGCCGGGUGUGUAAGUGCAGCGAUGCGUUGAGCUAACCGGUACUAAUGAACCGUGAGGCUUAACCUUACAACGCCGAAGC
rnacentral:rRNA from 1 species